rnacentral:rRNA from 1 species
UACGGGGGGUGCAAACGUUGUUCGGUGUCAUUGGGCUUAAAGGGUGCGUAGGCGGCCAGGUAAGUCAGGUGUGAAAUCCCCCGGCUCAACCGGGGAAUUGCGCUUGAUACUGCCUGGCUCGAGGGCCAAAGGGGAGAGCGGAACUCCAGGUGUAGCGGUAAAAUGCGUAGAUAUCUGGGGGAACGCCGAAGGCGAAGGCAGCUCUCUGGGUGGUUCCUGACGCUGAGUGCACGAAAGCUGGGGGAGCAAACAGGAUUAGAUACCCGAGUA